UAGUAGUGGGUGUAACGUACCCACUAGCUACGACGGGUACGGGUUGUGAGAGCAAGAGCCCGGAGAUGGAUUCUGAGACAUGAAUCCAGGCCCUACGGGGUGCAGCAGGCGCGAAAACUUUACAAUGCGGGCAACCGCGAUAAGGGGACCUCGAGUGCUGGGUUACAAACCUGGCUGUUGGGCUGCCUAAAAAGCAGUCUAUAGCAAGGGCCGGGCAAGACCGGUGCCAGCCGCCGCGGUAACACCGGCGGCUCGAGUGGUAACCGCUGUUAUUGGGUCUAAAGGGUCUGUAGCCUGCCGGCUAAGUCUCUUGGGAAAUCUGGCAUCUCAAGUGUCAGGCUGCCAGGGGAUACUGGUCAGCUUGGGACCGGGAGAGGUGAGAGGUACCUCAGGGGUAGGGGUGAAAUCUUGUAAUCCUUGAGGGACCACCAGUGGCGAAGGCGUCUCACCAGAACGGAUCCGACGGCAAGGGACGAAAGCUAGGGGCACGAACCGGAUUAGAUACCCGGGUAGUCCUAGCCGUAAACGAUACUCGCUAGGUGUCGGCCACGGUGCGACCGUGGUCGGUGCCGUAGGGAAGCCGUGAAGCGAGCCACCUGGGAAGUACGGCCGCAAGGCUGAAACUUAAAGGAAUUGGCGGGGGAGCACCACAACGGGUGGAGC
rnacentral:rRNA from 1 species